CAACUUUCAGCAACGGAUCUCUUGGCUCUCGCAUCGAUGAAGAACGCAGCGAAAUGCGAUAAGUAAUGUGAAUUGCAGAAUUCAGUGAAUCAUCGAAUCUUUGAACGCACCUUGCGCUCCUUGGUAUUCCGAGGAGCAUGCCUGUUUGAGUGUCAUGGAAUCAUCAA
rnacentral:rRNA from 1 species